ACCUGGCUGGCUCAAUUGGUAGAGCAUCAGACUCUUGAUCUCGGAGUCAUGAGUUCAAGUCACGUUGGGUG
rnacentral:tRNA from 1 species